ensembl:ncRNA T28B11.5 ncRNA
AAUUUUCGAAUAAUGCACACACCUGCGUUGCACAUUUCAAACCACAUCUGGCUCAUUCUCUUGAGAGCCAUGCGGUGGCCUUCUUGUCUUUUCGCGCCCUGGCGACAAUGAAUGGUACAUGGUGCCAGGCACGCAGCCAUGAGGUCGCCACUGAGUCAUCUGUCUAAUGAAUGGUUGAGAAUGGAAGAAAGAGGAACGAAUCUUUGAAGUGCAGAAC